rnacentral:misc_RNA from 1 species
UUUACAUUUUCAUUCUCUCUUACAACUGAUAAAUUGCAAAUCGCGUCAGGAUCAAGCUUCAUCUCAAAAAUUUAUUGGAAUCAAAGAUUCUCUUUUUCCAGUCUAAACGAUUUUGAAAUAAACGAUUUUGAGAUCAACCUUUCAGUACAAUAAAAUAAAAAACGAACCUUCACCAAUUGUUACAGCUUUGUCUUCUUAAGAUUUAAGAACAUGAAAUUUGCUGCUUGUAUGCCUACUAUACAACGAGGUGAGUUUUUUU